ensembl:lncRNA
GAAAGUUUGCAAAGCAAAUGUGUAUUUAUUUGUAUCCAGAAUCAAAUUAUGUAUUUAAACCAUCAAUGCUGUAAUGAUCGCUCCUUUAUUAAUGUGACGUUUUUUGUUUUUUUUUUUUUCUCUGCUGUGAGAAAUUUUCUUCCACUUGCAUUGAUGACGACGAUUUUUCUUAUUUUAACAAGCUCCGGAGUUCUUGGCUCUUAAACAAAAGACAAAUCAAUGAAGUGUUCAAUUUCUAUAGCCUUUUCUGUGUUCCCGACCACCACCCCUGACCACCACACCUACGACAAGAAAAACAAACAGUGAAAGGACUAAAAUAUUCAUGGAGUGGCAAACAAGAUACAUAAGAAAAAGUUUUCACUUUAACUUUCAACCAAUGAAGACCUACCAUAUAGCACACGGAGCUACACUCAGUGUUCUGUAAUGAACUCUGCAUAUGUGCUAAGUCAAUUCAGUUGUAUCUGACUCUGUGACCUCAUAGACUAUAGCUCACCAGGCUCCUCUGUCCACAGGAUUCUUC